rnacentral:lncRNA from 1 species
UAGUAGUAUGGAGGAGGGGGAGAUGGAGAUGGAGGUGGUGGUGACUUGUAAUAGUAAGGUGGUGGUGGAGAAGGAGAGGGUGGUGGAGGAGACUUGUAUUCAUAGUGAGGCUUAGGAGAUGGUGGUGGUGGAGACUUGUAUUCAUAUGGUGGUGGUGGUGAUGGGGAAGGUGGUGGUGGUGACUUGUACUCAUAAUGAGGCUUAGGAGAUGGUGGUGGUGGUGACUUGUAUUCAUAAUGAGGUUUGGGAGAUGGAGGUGGUGGUGACUUGUCUUCAUAAGGUGGUGGUGGAGACGGAGAUGGUGGUGGGGGAGACUUGUAUUCAUAAGGGGGUGGUGGAGAUGGAGAUGGUGGGGGGGGGGACUUGUAUUCAUAAUGAGGCUUGGGAGAUGGAGGCGGUGGGGACUUGUAUUCAUAAGGCGGUGGUGGAGAUGGAGAUGGUGGGGGGGGGGACUUGUAUUCAUAAUGAGGCUUGGGAGAUGGAGGCGGUGGGGACUUGUAUUCAUAAGGCGGUGGUGGAGAUGGAGAUGGUGGGGGGGGGGACUUGUAUUCAUAAUGAGGCUUGGGAGAUGGAGGCGGUGGGGACUUGUAUUCAUAAGGUGGUGGUGGAGAUGGAGAAGGUGGUGGGGGAGACUUGUACUCAUAAUGAGGCUUGGGAGAUGGAGGCGGUGGGGACUUGUAUUCAUAAGGUGGUGGGGGAGAUGGAGAAGGUGGUGGGGGCGACUUGUACUCAUAAUGAGGUUUAGGAGAUGGAGGUGGUGGUGACUUAUAUUCAUAAGGUGGGGGUGGGGAUGGAGAAGGUGGGGGGGGAGACUUGUACUCAUAAUGAGGUUUAGGAGAUGGAGGUGGUGGUGACUUAUACUCAUAAGGUGGUGGAGGAGAAGGAGAUGGUGGUGGUGGUGACUUAUAUUCAUAAGGUGGUGGUGGGGAUGGAGAAGGUGGUGGGGGAGACUUGUACUCAUAAUGAGGUUUAGGAGAUGGAGGUGGUGGUGACUUAUACUCAUAAGGUGGGGGAGGAGAAGGAGAUGGUGGUGGUGGUGACUUAUAUUCAUAAGGUGGUGGUGGGGAUGGAGAUGGAGGUGGAGGAGACUUGUACUCGUAAUGAGGUUUAGGAGAUGGUGGUGGGGGUGACUUGUACUCAUAAGGAGGUGGUGGAGAAGGAGAAGGUGGAGGUGGUGACUUAUAUUCAUAAUGAGGUUUAGGUGAUGGUGGAGGUGGUGAUUUAUACUCAUAAGGAGGUGGUGGAGAAGGAGAAGGUGGAGGUGGAGAAUAGUAAGGAUAAGCAUCUCCUGAUACUGAACUUACACUACUUGAAACAAAAACUACAGCCAACGCUAUGGCCAAGUGAGGCCAAAGACGACCCCACCCGGGGCCGCCGCCGGAACUUCUCAUUUCUU